GACGAACGCUGGCGGCGUGCUUAACACAUGCAAGUCGAACGGAAAGGCCCUGCUUUUGUGGGGUGCUCGAGUGGCGAACGGGUGAGUAACACGUGAGUAACCUGCCCUUGACUUUGGGAUAACUUCAGGGAACUGGGGCUAAUACCGGAUAGGAGCUCCUGCUGCAUGGUGGGGGUUGGAAAGUUUCGGCGGUUGGGGAUGGACUCGCGGCUUAUCAGCUUGUUGGUGGGGUAGUGGCUUACCAAGGCUUUGACGGGUAGCCGGCCUGAGAGGGUGACCGGCCACAUUGCGACUGAGAUACGGCCCAGACUCCUACGGGAGGCAGCAGUGGGGAAUAUUGCACAAUGGGCGGAAGCCUGAUGCAGCAACGCCGCGUGCGGGAUGACGGCCUUCGGGGUGUAAACCGCUGUCGACUGUGACGAAGCGUGAGUGACGGUAAUGGGUAAAGAAGCACCGGCUAACUACGUG
rnacentral:rRNA from 1 species